UACAGAGGUGGCAAACGUUGUUCGGAAUUACUGGGCGUAAAGGGCGCGUAGGCGGCCUUCUAAGUCAGACGUGAAAUCCCCCGGCUUAACCUGGGAACUGCGUCUGAUACUGGGAGGCUUGAGUAUGGGAGAGGGAUGUAGAAUUCCAGGUGUAGCGGUGAAAUGCGUAGAUAUCUGGAGGAAUACCGGUGGCGAAGGCGGCAUCCUGGACCAUUACUGACGCUGAGGCGCGAAAGCUAGGGGAGCAAACGGG
rnacentral:rRNA from 1 species